rnacentral:rRNA from 1 species
GGGGUUAAUUUAAUAAAUAAUAAAUAUGAAAAAAAAUUUUAAUAUAAUAUAUUUAAUGGGGGUUAAAGUAUUUUUAUAGAAAAAAUUUUAAAAUUUAUAGUGAAAUAGUAUUGUGAAAGAAAAAUUGAAAAUAUUGAAAUAAAAAUUUAUUUAAAAGUAAAUUUUAUUUAUUGUAUCUUGUGUAUCAGAGUUUUUUUAAAAAAAAAAUUGGGUAAAUUUAUUUCGAAAUUUAAAGAGUUAAUUAAUUAAAAAAGUUAAUAUUGCAUAAUUAUUUUAAAUAAUUAAUUGGAAAUGAAAAGUUAAUCGUUUUGAAUGAUAUCUAAUUUUUUUAGAAAAAAGUUUAAUUUUAAAUAAAUUUUAAAAAUAAUUAAUUAAUUAAUUAUUUUUAAAAUUUAAUUUUAUAUUUUAGGGGAUAAGCUUUAAAUUAGAAUUUUAUAAUAAAAGUAAAAAAAAUUGAAAUUUUUAAAAUUUAUAUUUUUUAUAAAUUAUAGUUUAUUAUCAAUAAUUUCAUUUGAUUAAAAUUUUAUUUUAAUUUAAAUUUUUAUAAAAAAAUAUUUUUUAAUUUAAUAAAAAUAGGUAUAAUGAUAAAAUUAGUAUAUAAUUUAUAAAUAAAAUAAAAAUUAUUUAAAUUAAUAAAAAGGAAUUCGGCAAAAAU